GGCCUGAUGGUCUAGUAGUAUGAUUCCUUGUUAGGGAAAUGGCCUUGCCAAAUCCGGUAAAUCGAGGAGGUCCCGGGUUCAAUUCCCGGUCAGGCCC